UACGAAGGGGGCUAGCGUUGUUCGGAAUUACUGGGCGUAAAGGGCGCGUAGGCGGCGUGUCAAGUCAGGCGUGAAAGCCCCGGGCUCAACCUGGGAACCGCGCUUGAGACUGGCAUGCUCGAGUUCGGGAGAGGAUGGUGGAAUUCCCAGUGUAGAGGUGAAAUUCGUAGAUAUUGGGAAGAACACCGAUGGCGAAGGCAGCCAUCUGGACCGACACUGACGGCUGAGGCGCGAAAGCGUGGGGAGCAAACAGG
rnacentral:rRNA from 1 species